rfam:Oryza glumipatula chromosome 11, whole genome shotgun sequence.
UUUUAAGGCAGCUAUGAGUUUUCGUAUCUAAUUUUGAUUGUUCUUUUUAUUUAAAAUUUUUUAGUAUUUUUGUUGUUAUUAGACGAUAAAAUAUGAAUAGUACUUUAUUUGUGACAUGCUUUUUAUUUUUUUAAAAAAAAAUUCAGAUAAGACGAACGAUUAAAAUUGAAUAAAAAACUCAUAACUAUACUUAAA